CAGCAGCCACGGGAAUACGAGGGGGGCAAGCGUUGUUCGGAUUUAUUGGGCGUAAAGGGUGCGUAGGCGGUUUGGCAAGUUUGGUGUGAAAUCUUCGGGCUCAACUCGAAGUCUGCAUCGAAAACUGCCGGGCUUGAGUAUGGGAGAGGUGAGUGGAAUUUCCGGUGUAGCGGUGAAAUGCGUAGAUAUCGGAAGGAACACCUGUGGCGAAAGCGGCUCACUGGACCAUUACUGACGCUGAGGCGCGAAAGCUAGGGGAGCAAACAGGAUUAGAUACCCCCGUAGUCCCUGUCUCUUAUAC
rnacentral:rRNA from 1 species